AAGAAAUGGAGACUUGCGUGGGACCGUCAUGUGAGAGCACUGAAAAGGUCUAAGGAUAUGCCAGAGAGUGUACCGAGGCCUGGAAGCCUGAGUUGGCUCACCAUUUUUAUAAAACAUCGGCAAACCAACCCAAACUUUCCCGAGAUUUCAGCAGACAGAGUUGAGAGUCCUAAUGACAACCUGGAUCAGACUCCCUUGUUUUCAGACCAGGCAGGU
rnacentral:lncRNA from 1 species